UGAGGCUUGGGAGGAUGUGACUUGCCCAAGGGCAAAAAGAUAGUAAGGGUGGCCAAAUUGAAAUUUAAACUGAGGUCUCUUAAUUCCAACUCCAUUGUGAUUUCUACUACACCAUGCAGAAACUUCCCACCCACUGUGGAAUGAAGUGCUUCUUUUGCCAUGCAUUUCACUGCCUUCUUGACUGAAGGAAGAGAGAGAGGGCUUGCCAAAUGGCCAAAUGGGAAUUUCAGAGGCGAAAGAUACCCUGAGAAGAUGAUCAAAGCAGCGCUGGAAUGUUUGGAUUCAAGUGAUCAAGGUUUAAAGUAAAUUAGAGGAGACAAGGUUAGAGAUAGCCUGGGGAUUAGAAAGAGACAAGGAAGAUGAGGAAGUGCUAGGCUGUCACCUAAUAAGUGUUUUUGAAUAGGAGGAUGAAUAUCUUGAACUUGAUCCAUAACAAUGUAGUAGAACAUCUAUGAGAGUCACAGUGGAGCUUAGGAGAAGAUUGUGGCAGACUUAGGGUGACAUUGUUGAAUUCAAAGAGGUAAGUGAAGAGGAUCACAAUGGUCUGAAUGAAACAAUCAGAAUCUUCUGUGGCUGAAGUUGUAGGGCCGCAGGAGAAAAAUGAGGAUUGAAGUAUAUUAAUGCCAUUCAAGAAGUAAGCUAUGGCACCACUUCAAAAAGUAGUCAGAUGCUUCAUUUAGGAAUUCACUAUGGCACAACUAGGAAAGGGGAAGGCCUGUAGUAGGAAGAUGAGCAGAAGAAUGCCAUUCACUUCAUUCAUUUUAUUCAUUAUAAAUCUCCAUCUCUUGGGUUAGAUUACUUCAAGAAAAUGAAAAAGGAUUCAGAAAAUCAUCAGAUAAAGAGGAAAAAAAAGUACAAUCAUAUAUACUCUUAGGUUUAAUGUAUUUUCUGGAUUAAGUCUCUGUGUGUGGUGUUGCUUUGAAGGCUAUACAAAGUUGAGUUUAACAGACAUGGUCCCUGCUUUCAAGGAUCUGGAGAUAUCACAUACAGGACAUAGAUAGCGGAACAUGAAGCAAAUGUAUAAAUGCUACAACAAUUCAUGCAAUAUUGUCUGUACAACAGGAGGGUAACAUGUAAGCCAUUUAUUUCCUGCUUAAAAUUUAGCCAUCACAUCAGAAGCUCAUUACUCUUUGACUUUAUUCUGGUAGCAUCUUCACUCCAUGGAAGAAGUUUUUGUUGCUUUCUGAAGAAAAAAAUGAACAUUAUUUGCAUUUUAUUAGGAGUCUUACAGAGUAUUACGCACAGUAAGUAAGUAGGUGCUCAAAAACAUUGGCUGAACAAAUCAGUGAAGGAAUGAGCGGGAUUGCAAUUUUCAAGCUCAGCAGUAAGAGGUGUUUAUGCUACUCACCACUGCCCCAAGAAAAAGAAAACAAACAAUAUUUUGCAGAAAUCUCAUAGCUAGAAUAUGUCUUAAAAGUCUAGUCCUUUGUAAUAUUCAAAUAAACCCUUUAAAAUGUUGAUAACAUUGUCAUUCUUAGAUAGAGACUGGCCUCUCUGUUUUGCUUCUUUACUGAGUUCAGAGCAUAAAUAAGAUUAAUACUCUCAUAUGGGGCAAAAUAAAAAGGAAUAGAUUUUUUUCCCCCAGAGAGAACCAACCUAACCACCAACAAUUGAACCAAGAUGAACCAUCCUUCUUCAUGGGGCAAGUUUUCAUCUAUCCAUUUUUUAAUUCUGGAAUUAGUCACAGAUUCACAAUAAGGUCAACACUUAGUUGAUAAGGAAACAGAGAGAGAGGUCAUGUGACUUGCCCAGGACUACACAGCUAGUGUCUGAAGUAGGAUUUGAACUCAGGUCUCACUGACUCCAAGUUCAAGUCCCAAUACCACUCAAGAGAGCCAAGUGGCAAAAAUACUUAAGGUAAAGUUGGGGAAGACAGCUGAACCUAACCAAAUACCAAAUGUGUCCAGGAGGUGAUAAUUUAAAGGUACAUUGGAAUAAUUUUCAAGAUACCUCAAAGAGCGGAAGAUUCCAAAAGAAUGAGAAUGGAUGCAAGUGGUACUUCUACUUAAGGGGGAAAAAGGCAACUGAGAAAACAUCGACAAUUACCAACCAUCACGAGCUUAUAAGAUCAUGGAUCUAGAACCGGGAAGGAUUCUAGAGGUCAUCUUGUCCAACCUCUUCAUUUUAUGCAUGAGGAAAAUGAGUCGCAGAAAUGUUCAGUGAUUUGACCAAGGUCACACAAGAGGCAGAAAUGCUGAGAUUUGAACUCUGGUCCUAAGACUCUAAUCCAAUGCUCUCUGCUUUUUCAUCUCUAAAGACUAUGGGAAUGAUUUGUUCAUGAAUAUCAUGGGUUUCUUUAAUGAAAAUUUGAGGAAGUAACAGGCUUACUUUUGUAUAUGACUUUUAUAGUAGAACACAUUUUCACAGUCAUUCAGUUGAUCAAGAGGUUCAAAUAAUAUAAAGCUUAACAUGUUUUUCUCAAACAAGGUGUUUCCCACACGUAUGUAAAAAUGUCCUAUGGCAGAUGCAACCAUAGAGAAGGCAUUUAAUUAAUGCUUGUGGAUUGAUUGUUAUUAAUACUAAGUGAGACACAAAACAAAGAGAUAUACUUACUCACAUAGCAACCGCCCUACUUUAAGCCCUCAAUACUUCUCAACCAGACAUUGUAAUAGCCUCCUAACAGACCUUCCUUCAUUCAGCUUCUCCCCUAUCUAAUCUAUCCUUUCCCCAGCUGUCAAAGUAAUAUUCCCAAAGAAUAUGUCUGACCAUGUCAUUCACUGCUGCUACAGAAACUUUAUUGGCAAUAAAAACUCCGCUGUUCACCAUUUAAA